AUGCGAUUUUACUUCUGGACGAAUUAGGGAGCGCUCCCAGCCCGUGCAGGGGUUUUUCCCACUCAGGAGUAGGCACUCAGGGAUGGGGCUUUCCAGAAACUCUUCCCGCCCCUCCACAUACAUGUUAACAAUUCCAUUUCGCAUCUAUCUAUCCAUCUAAUACAUUAUAAAAUCAAAUUCAAAGUCAAAAACAGUAUUUCCAGCCCUCCACCGCCCUGUCCCAACCAGGCUUGCAGCACUAAAACUCUUGACAGAAAUUUUUGAGCUACCCCUGCUUUCCCUGGACACUACUACGGACGGCUCAGACCAGAACAGACAUCUUGAGGGACUUGGGGACGUGUCCACGAUGCUGGGGGAUUGGACAGUUUCAGAAUUUGGAGAAUUGGAACCAAGUGGCAACUUCCAGCAUCUUAGAUCUAAAGUUUAUUUGGUGGAUGGGAGCACUGUGAAAUGGCUGCCAGUGUAUUAUUUUUUCAAGUUUCAGUUAUUUAUUAAUCAGUGUAAUCUCCAAUAGAUUACAUCAACAUGAUUUCAUUCAUUUAGAGGAGAACUAUUUCCUGGUGAAGUGGAAAAUUGUGCGGACGGAUUCUGGAAGACCUUCAGUCUAAAGCAGCUUUAU
rnacentral:lncRNA from 1 species